GACGGGUGGUAGCACAAAUCAAAGACAGUGGAAGCAAAAAACAAAACGAUGGUAGCAAAAUUUGGGAGUGAUUCCAGCAAGAAGAUGGCUCCGGCAAAACAAAUCAAAAAUAAGGUUGUAGCAAAAAAUGAAGACGGUGGUAGCAAAAUUCAAAGACCAUGUGGCAAAAAAUAGAGUGGUUCCAGCAAAAGGAUGGAUCCAGCAAAAAAAUCAAAAACAGGGAUGAUAGCAAAAACUAAGACGGCAGUAGCAAAAAUAAAAAACCGUGGUAGCAAAACUUGGAAUCGUUCCAGCAUAUAGAUGGAUCUAGCAAAAAAAUCAAAAGACAAGGGAUGCAACGGUUGUAGCAAAAAACAAAACCAUGGUAGCAAAAUUUGGGAGCGGUUCCAGCAAAAAGCACUCUAAAAUGUGGAUCGUAGCAAAAAAAUGUUGCUGAUUCCAGCAAAAAUAGUAACCGGAUGUAGCAAAAAAUGUCGCCGACUGCAGCUCCCGCCAAGGCCGUUUCCAGCAUCUCGUCCGCUAGUCCACGGUGUAGCCGCCGUUCCAGCGCAGGUGGAGGCGCGUCGCUCACCGGAGCAAAAUGGGGGCAGGUGGAGGCGAGGCGCUCGCCGUAGCAGCGCGGUGGGAGGUGGAUGCGGCUGCUCGCUGGAGCAACGCGGUGGGAGGUGGAUGCGGCCGCUUGCCAGAGCAGCACGGCGCAGGUGGGUGUGGUGCUCGCCGGAGCAGCGCGGGGCAGGUGGAUCCAUGGAUGGCGGACAUCGCCGGAUUACAGCAGAAUCGUAUUUGAUUUGGGGAGGACUGAGCGAAGGGGAUAAGGUAACAAGCACGGUUUUGGGGCCCACAAGGGACGUGUGGUGAGAAAAGUACGAUGGACGUGGCAC
rnacentral:rRNA from 1 species